rnacentral:rRNA from 1 species
UCCGUAGGGUGCAAUCGUUGUCCGGAUUUAUUGGGUUUAAAGGGUGCGUAGGUGGCUCUUUAAGUCAUGGGUGAAAGCCCGCAGCUUAACUGUGGAAUUGCCUGUGAUACUGAGGAGCUUGAGUGCGGUUGAGGCAGCUGGAAUUGGUGGUGUAGCGGUGAAAUGCAUAGAUACCACCAGGAACACCGAUUGCGAAGGCAGGUUGCUAAGCCGUAACUGACACUGAGGCACGAAAGCGUGGGGAGAAAACAGG